UUGUUCUCAUCAGGAGAGGGCCUGUAUAAAGAGAGAGUGCCUGCUACACUCAGCAGCCACACAGAGUCAUGGAUCGGUUUACAUUGUACUUCUCUCUCCUGUUGGCGUUCCUACUUUAUGAUGCUCAACCAGCAGCUCCAACAGCCAGCACAACAAGCAGCAGUACUACAUCUACACUGGCAAAAAACAUCACAACUUCUUCAUCCACUGUCUCGUCAGCACCAAAUACAACAUCUACACUGAUGGAAGGGAGUACAAUGUCAGCAUCCACAGUUUCUGCUACUACACCAACCAGCCAAACAAGCAGCAGCUCACCUACACCAGCAG